CCUCCCUAACCCUAGAAACCCCCUCACUCUUUAUCUCUCUCACUCUCUGCCUCGCCGCCCCCAGAAUCGUGCAACAACGGCGGUCAACCUCCAAACUCCCCCAAAUUAUCACCUUAUAGCCUCCAACAUCGCUUUAAUCCAAAUCCACCAUCAAUUCUCCCAAAAGCGCCACCAAAUUCAAUAAAUUUUUUAUCUGAAGUCUCAGGAAUCCUUUCUUCCGUUGCUUGAUCGAUUCGUCUAGUUCACACUCAAAACUUACAUCAAUGGAAUGCUUUUAACAAGAGCUAUCAAUUGAUGUAAGGUUUAGUCCGAUUAUUGAUGGCCGAGUUUUGGUCAACUGGUUGUUGACCGGCCAGAGUCUUCCGGAAAUCUUUUAUAUCGCUUCCUUUGAGCUUAAUUAGAAAAUGGAAUUGAAUAUUCACUCACCUUAUUUACGUGGCAUGAGUUCAAAUGAUAGAAUUUUGUUGAGAAGCAUAUACGAGAAAUGGAGCUUCAAGAAUGCUCACAGGAUAUUGCUAAUCUAUUACGUGCCGAUUUAAAACUAAGGGAGAUUUUCUAUAAGUACUUAUUCCAUUUCCUAUUCUCGUUCAAGUUGUGUAAAUUUUAUCAAAAGUUGAUUAUUAUAAGUUUGGAGUUUAUGUAUUUAUUAAAUUGGUGAUAUAAAUUUAAAUAUUGAAUAAUAUGAAUUCAUGCUUAGACUA